rnacentral:rRNA from 1 species
UACGGGGGGGGCAAGCGUUGUUCGGAAUUACUGGGCGUAAAGGGCUCGUAGGCGGCCAACUAAGUCGGACGUGAAAUCCCCAGGCUCAACCUGGGAACUGCGUCUGAUACUGGAUGGCUUGAAUCCGGGAGAGGGAUGCAGAAUUCCAGGUGUAGCGGUGAAAUGCGUAGAUAUCUGGAGGAAUACCGGUGGCGAAGGCGGCAUCCUGGACCGACAUUGACGCUGAUGAGCGAAAGCUAGGGGAGCAAACGGG